UGAAAAACAGCUGAUAUAGUCACACCUGAGCAGAGGUAGGGGAGGAAAAACUUGUCACACAGGUGAACCAGCGUGGGUGGAAAUUUCCUUUGGGAGGAAGGGGCUUGGACAAAAAUCAAUCCAGUGAGGAUCAGUUGCAUGAGGACAUCCCGAUCCUUUCCUGCAGUCUUCCUGUGCUGUUCUCUGCCUGGCAAAGCCCCAGCAGCAGCCCCCGGGCAACGUGGCACGUGUAGUGGAAACGACUUUGGCUGACUGGGAUGCUUUUGCAGGGAGUCCAGGUGCUGCGCACAGUACAGCGGGGAGGAGAAGACGCCUCCGGAUGGAAGUUAGCGAUCGCUUCCUCCUCCCCCUUUUCUCCUGAGCCCAGCAAUUCAGUGGUUGUGUCAGCACAACUUGAUAGCAUGGGGAUAGAGAGAAGCUGGAGCCUCCAGAGCACAAAGCAAAAGCCCCAGUUUGCUCUCAGUUGCCUGUUUGCAGGAAAUCCUGUCUCCUGGUGACAAAGGGAGAAAAGGAGCUGCAUGGGGAGGAUACCACAGGACAACUCCUUCAGGGGGAGGGUGGAUGCUUUCUUCUCUGCAUUGGACAUUUGUACACCAACUCGGCCUGCCCUGAUGUCUCUGCAUGGGCAAUCUUGCCCUUAGCACGGGUCUUCCUGGCUUUUCCCAGGGAUCUUGAGAGCUGGUCAUCCCCAGGCUGCCUUUCCAGGGCAGAGUCUGUAACAGCAUGGGCUGUGGUGCAGGUCUCAUUCUUUUCCUCAGUUUGCCCUGCAACAGGAUGUGCUGGUCGCUGCAGUCAGGUUAAAGGCCGGUAAACUGCCCUUUGGCCGAGGUAGAUUUAAAGGUCUAAGGGCAGCAAUGCUCAAAAAAAUACCUCCUCUCUUGGUAGGAGAUGUGGGUGAGAAAUUCUGUCUUGGUGCUGGCGCUGGGAUGGCAGCCUUAGUGGGAGACGGCCCUGCCUGCAUUAGUCAUGGUGGUGGAGGGGAAACCUGUAACAUAAAAAUAUAAAUUAUAUGUGUUCAGUAGAUAGAUAAACAUCUCUUCUACCAGCACUGUAAAUCAGGCCUAUUCCCCCACCUCCUCCCAGAUUUUACCAGCCUAAUCUGGACUUUUCUGUGCAGUAUUUAUUUUUCAUCACUAAGUCUUGAAGGAAUUGCAUUUUCAAGCAACCAGUGACUUCUUUUUUCUAAAAAAAGUUUUGUUUUCCCCUGAAGUCAGCUCAGAGCACCUGUCUCUUGGAAAACCAGGCCCCUUUAAGAUGUCUCAGGCUGCUUUGAAUCACUAAUUGCUUCUGAAUAGGCAGGCCAAAUGUUUUAUCACUUCCAACUCCCAUAGCAAUGCAAAUCUAUACAGCUGAGAAGCCUCUUUCCAUGCAUGGGGGUGAUGGGUAAAGAUAAGGAUUAAAAAUAGAGACAAAUCCAACCCAGGGGUCCUCUUUGUUCCUCCCUGCCCUGCGUGGGGUUGCCAGGGCUACAUUUGUUCCCCUGCAUCGUUUUUGGAUGAGAUCCAGUGCCCCUUGAAUGCAAAGUUGAGAGGUACAGUGUCGGGAGAGGGCUGGAUGAGGUCCUAGGUACAUACAUAUUUCAUUGCCCAUGCCAGGCUCCGUAUUGUUUUCUCUCUCUGGUUUCACAGAGGUGGUGUUUUCUAAAACUCUCACUUGUUGAGGGCCACACAGUCCAGGCUUCAUCCUGUCUAAGGUUUCUGCCUUUUCAGUUGUUUCCCACUCUGAAUGGCAGCCAGGCCUCUUUCCCAUGCCUGAGGGGAAAAGGGGGGUGCUUGGGUGGACAACAGGACUCCCCAGAGUGCUGUUUGGGGGGGGCCUCCAUGUGCGGUGGCAUGUCCCCCUCGGGGCUGCUGUGUGUGCUUUGGGCUCGGCUGAAUCACACACUGCAGGAGAUGAGCAGCGCUUUGCAGAGCCUCACUUCUUUAAGUAACCCACAGCCUGAAGGCAAAUAUUGACUAUUAAGAGGUGGAAAAUCUCGGUGAGCAAGGGCAGUCUAAAUCCUCCUUUUUGCUUAGGUCACCUGUUAUUAGAGCUGCCUGCCGUGUGCUGAGUGCGGCUGUGCUCAAAAAUUGCCAGGAGCUCAGCAUUAUGGAAGCAAAAGCCAGUUUACUGACUUUCCAAUAGAAAGGAAGAUGCAUGCUGAAUGUGCAUCUGUUGGAUGAUAUUUCUGUUUCAGGCAUGCCACUAACAUACAAAUUGCAAACAACUUUGCACGAUUUAUGUAGUGACUAGGAAAACCUGGGUUAAGUGAUGCUUUGUAGGGUAUUGGGCACUAUUUAUUCUUAGGAGAGAAGGUUAUGAAAUCUAUUUUCUAUUUAUCUCCCCAAAUGAAUUCCAGUUGACAUUUACCUAUCCUAUUCGAGUACUCUGGACGUGGAGAGCAGAUAAAUAUCCUGACAAAUCACACCUUCAUGUAAAAUCGAUAGCUAAUAAGAAAUCAGUCCCUUGAAGAUGAUAGGAAUUUAUCUUUAAAAUUAAAAUAAAGACUGCAAAAGUUUGUCAAAGAGGAAAACAAAAACAAAAAAAUCUCUGUUCUUCUUUGUUUAGGUAUUUUUUAUGUGUUUCAGGUGCACAUAGGACCCAGUUACGACUUGCUCAACUAAGGAUAACUAUUGUUAUCUUCGUUGUACUUUUUUAAAAGAGACACUGCUUUCCCACCAGACUGGGAUUUCCAGGGAGGCACAGAGGAACCAGAAUGAUUUUAGGCCUUCUAUCCUGUUCUCCAAAGACUUUUGACUCAACAGGACUGAAACUCAGGCUUAAAUUCUGCAGGGGUUUAAAUCUUCGGUGUUGGGUUCCAGCCCAGGAUUAAUUAUCUUGCUGAUCUGAGGUCUUCAUACAUAACCUUAGUCUUCCUGGUAGUGAAAAAUAAUUAACAGGAAAGGUUUUGAGUAUAAAAAGGACAAUUGGAAACUAGAAAGCUUGCUUGUACUUUACAAGCUUACUUUACAAGAGGUGGCCUUGGAUGUCCAAGUCAGCACCAAAAGCAGUCCAGGCUUGGGACUCUCCUUAUUCCUGCCCAAGGUCCCCACCUGGGUACCAGCGAGGCCCAGAGCGGUUGCAAGACUGUGCUCUGCUCUGACACCUGGCACCAGCAGAGUGAGGUGUGGGAGAGAACCUCCAGUGCUGGUGGUGUGAGAGGGCUGUGAGGCUGAAGAUGUGGGGCUGGCUGUGUAAUGGGGGCAGUUCUGAGAGCACAACCUGGCAGGUGGCUUCUGAGGCAUGGGGUUGGAAAAGCAAUUAGGGGCCAAUGGGAAUGGCACAGGUCGAGAGCAGGAAAAGGUGUCCUAAAGGGUGGAAGCUGUGCCAGACUCAGGUGCCCUUCCAGCUCAAAACUGGGAGCCCAGGCAGGGAAGGAGGGGGAAAAGCUGGAGCAAGAACCAGAAAAACCUGCUCCCACCAGCCCGGGGUUCACAUUACUCACACUGCUUUAAAACAGGUCAGGUUUGCUUUGGUUUCCAAUCAAAGAUGGCCAGACUGCCUGAGGACUGUUUUCAGCUCAGCUUAGAGCAGUUCCAAGCUCCCGUGUGCCUGCUCACUGUGUCGCUGCCCCCCAUGCCCUCCUACCCAUCAGCAGUGCAAGGCCUUUGCUGGGAUUUAAGCCUUUCUAAGCAAAGGCUGGGCUAGAAGCACGCACAAGGACGUUUCCCAGCUCACCUGAGGGGUGGUAACUGUGAGUGGCGGGGUCACAUCGAGGCACUCUCACCUCCACAAGCUUUGGAGCUCCCACAGCAAGUUUGCUGCUUGAAACUGGAGGGGAGACUGUGCCUGGGGAUGCUCCCCACUGCAGAGGAAGAGUGGUCUGCCUCCUGCAGAUGCUUAUCGGAGGUGAGAAGCUCUUGGCAGUGGUGCGAGCUGUCCUGCUGCAGGUCUCGUCCACAAGCACCAGGGUCAGCCUCGCAUGAUUUAUCAGGUUAUCAUAGUCAGCUUCAACUGGGUGUGAGUAGCAAAGAUGGAACCACAUUUUUGUUGGGAAGAAGGAGGAGAAAAGGAGCUAACAGAGUUAGAGAUCAGAUUGUCAGAGGCUAAUGGCUGUGUCUGCUUAUUAGGCAUCAAUAACAGUAAUUUACCUUUGAAUGCAAUAAUUCAUCAUAAUGCUUCCCACCUACCUCAUGAACCCUUGCUGCUUAUCUCACCGCUCUUGUUCAGGGAUCUGAAAGCAUUUCAUAAACAUUAAUUAAUUAUUCCUCCACACCCCUGGAAGCAAAGUACACAUUAUCCCAAUUUUGCAGCUUGAGAAGCUGAGCUCACCUAAAGAGAUAAUAACUGAGCUGGGGUCAGGAGCACAGAGCGCAGGCCCCUAUCCCAGCUUUGACCAGAAGCACCUUUCUGCAGAGUGCUCUGACACGUGGGCAAUGGGGACGUGAUCCAGGGUAGUUCAGUCCUUCAUCCAUGCACGUUCCUGUGCUUGCCAUUUUAGGAUGGCAGGAGAGGUGUAAAAGGGGUGGGUGUUGCUCCUGCCUCGGAGAGGUCUCACACUCAUCACUAUCUCAUCCCCUUCAAGCCUCCACCACAGGGACCAGACACCUGCCAGUGUGUGAAGCACCUGCCAUUAUUCACAGUAGGACUCUCCCUUUUUUUAAUGACUGCGUUAAUGACCCUAAUCUCUCGGUGUGGAUGUGGUUAAUCCCACAGCUCUAGGGACGAGGAGUUCAGAGACGUUUUCUCUCCCGCCUUCUCUCCCCUCACUUUGCAUCCUAACCUAAUGCAUCAGCACUGAGAUGAGCUGGUGAGACCUGUGCUGAGCAGGAGGCACUGCCCCUGCCCUGGUUUGAAAAUCGGGCUGCUGCGAGUAGAUAUCCAGGAUACAACAGUUACAAAUCACCUCACUCCAAUGUCUCAGCGAAGGGACGUGACAUGUGAGUGACAUCCUGAAACAAGAUGCUUGACGUUGAACCUGUGCUCAAGUGCCUUGAUGGAUCUUGGCCCUUGGGGAACAGGGAGGCUGUCACCCUGGAUAUGGUGACUAAGAUGUAAACUGAGGGGAGGAUAUCCCCUGCAAAUAAUGAGCCUUGGCAGUGGAGGGGAGGACG